rnacentral:lncRNA from 1 species
CUCUUCCAGAUCUUGCCAUAAAUCUAUAAAGAAACUAGAAAGAUAAACAAAGUAAGAAAACAAUUAUACUCAAUAGUUACAAAAAAUAUUAUGCACUUAAAAAUUGAAUACAUCAUAACUAUAUAAACACAAAGAACAAAAGAUCAUGAAGACAAAAUUUCUUUCAUAAAUUACUUUCAGUAGUGCAAUAUACAUAUACAAAAGAAAUCUUUAUACUAAUCAAGAUCAUUAUUAAUGCUUUCAUUAGUUUGCAUAUUAUCUUCCUCUUCAGUUAUAUCAUCUCCAUCAAUGUCCUCUUCAUCACUGCCAUCUCUUCCAAUGUCAUCUUCAUAUUCUUGAACAUUAGCU